UCUGACUUUAUUCAAAUGACUAUAGCCAUA
rnacentral:piRNA from 1 species